GAACGCCGCAUGCGGUGAAAGUCGCACGUACGGUGUGAGCGGGGAAAAGGUGACGAUAACUUCAAAGCCUGACCUAUCCGUAU
rnacentral:ncRNA from 1 species